rnacentral:lncRNA from 1 species
AUGGGGUCGAGCUGUACGAAGGGUCAGUGGGACGGAGAGUAUGAACGGUCCAAAAGACCAAAACGUGGACGGAAGACGGAGAAAGAAAGAGAGGAAAUGAAAAAGGACAAGGAAGACUUUAUGUUUCCUUUCACUUAUGAUUUGUGUGAUUUGAACGAUUUCAAUGAAAUGUUGAACUCAGAUGAGAGCUGGGAUUUUGCGUACGUCUGUGAACGUGCUGCUAAAUUGGAGAAAACAGCCAAAAAACUACCCAAAAUUCAACCUGAACCACCGGCCGCCGCCACCCCUCCACCCAGGAUCACAUAUGAAACCCAACAACCAAUAACUGAGACACUGAAUUCAGUUCCACCCAGCGUGGAGAAAUUACUGGCACAGCUAAAAUUCGGCGGACUUAAUUACGACUUGCUCCUUCGUGAGGAGGGAAGCCCGAGAACUGGUCCGCAUCCUCCGCUGCCUGCACAAGGCUCUGAUGCACCUGUGGAGUCAGCCGUUAGUCCACAACAUAGAGCAGAAGAGAAACCGGAGAGGGGAAAAGAAAAGGAGGAGGAAAAACCGAGGUCUGUCGUAGAAAAUCCAGUUUGCCAGGUAGAAAAGGAGAGACGUGUGGAGCCUGUGUGGACCCCCGCAGAGCUCCUGAACCUGGUACAAAGCGCCCCCAACCCCAUCAUAAAACCCAGAGAUUUCCACGCGUGGCUGUGUAACGUUUGCAGUGCGUACGAACUGCGUCCCGCUGACGUCCACAAGCUGCUGGAGUUCGUUUACAACCGUGAGUGGAAAAAUGUUGAGCAGAACUUUAACAUCCCUGGAGCAGACGGUAACGCCGACUGGCGAGGCGCUGAUGCGAUGGCGACGUGGCUCGACAACGCCUGUUGGGACUCUAUUAGUAAAUGCGUGUGGCAAAAAGCCAAUUUUUCUGCCGUACAGUGCUGCCAUCAGAAAAAUCAAGAGCCGGUAACGGAUUUCCUUGAGCGUUUCCAGCAGGUGUGGGAGUCCACUCUGGGCGUCGAUAUUGACAGCGUUGGUCUAACAAUGAUGAUAAACCUCUUACAACCUCACGUGGUGGCUGUUUUCAAAGAACGCUGUAUUCUGUGGUCGACAGUUAAUUUUACAAAGGCCAAACAUUGGUUAUCAAGCAUGGAGAGGCUCGGAGGGUUCGAGCCAAAGCGCAAAGGUCGAUGCCCGGCGAAGCAGCUAGGGGAUUCUGGACCAGAGCGGCUGCAGCUGGAAGCGCCGCCUCGGUUCAGGCAGCUGCGCAGAGAUAAGAGAAGCGAUCGGUGCUUUAACUGCGGCACAUUCGGACACUGGGCCAGAGAGUGUCGAGCUAAACGUCAACGAUACUCUCGAACACAUCCGGACGCUUGGACAUGGACGCACACGUAUACAGAGGCUAAAACCGCCGCUGCUGUGCCCUUCCAGAUUGGUUAUUAUUAA